ncrna:unclassified sequences GP20-b RNA
UGCCCGGAACGGCGUAAAACUACCACCACAAGGGAUGCAACCCCGUAGAAAAGCGUA